UGGGCCUGUGGUACAAUAUUCGAUUCUCUAUUUGCACCAGUGUAAAAAGGGAUAUGGAAGUAAUUCUGUGUCUGUCCAAGAGAGCCUUAUAGAGGUAGCCUGUACCCCAAUUAGAGAGAGCCAUUCCGCCAAGCUCUUUACCCAGGAACUAUACUCAGCAUCUCAGCAUCAAGCCACCAUAGCUUUGAACUGCCUGCGAGCAUCUGUGGUUUACCUCGGUUUAUUUUGUGCGUCCUUCGGCAAGAUGUAUCCUAAGGCGUUUUAA
rnacentral:lncRNA from 1 species